rnacentral:rRNA from 1 species
GCCUAGCCGUAACACACAAUUAAAUUACCAAUUGUUCGCCAAACAACUACGAGCCAUACUUGAAACUUAAAAGACUUGACGGUACUUCAUCACGGCCUAGAGGAGCCUGUCUAAUAACCGACAAUCCACGAUUAACCCAGCCCCUUCUUGCCCAACAGUCUAUAUACCACCGUCGCCAGCUUACCUUGUAAAAGAAAUAAAGUGAGCUAGAUAGUACAACACUAAAACGACAGGUCGAGGUGUAACUUAUGAAGGGGACCAAGAUGGGCUACAUUCUCAACCGAGAAUACGAAUAACACUAUGAAACUAAUGUUUGAAGGCGGAUUUAGCAGUAAGAUAAGAAUAAAACACUUAACUGAACACAACGCAAUGAAGUGCGUACACACCGCCCGUCAUCCCUGCCACCACAAUAUAAACCUUAAUAAACUAACCUGAAAAAAUCAAACAGGGCAAGUCGUAACAUGGUAAGUGUACUGGAAAGUGUACUUAGAAA